rnacentral:misc_RNA from 1 species
AAUCAGACCUCGUCCUCGUGGAGCAUCAUGUUGGGGAUGCCCUUGUUGAUGGGGAAGCAGCGGCUGGUGUCGGGGCAGACGAGGGAGCCCUCCUGGACAUGAACCUCGAGGAGCGCGUGGUGGAUGCGGCGGAUGGCGCUUCCCUCGACGUCGGCGGCGCCGUCGGCGAAGAUCUCCUCCUCGGGGGGCUGCUCCUCGGGGAGGAGCUCAGGGAGGCCGACCGCGCGGGUGGCGGCGACGAGCGCGCGCCAGUCGAUCUUGGGGAGGAGACCGCGGAUGAAGUCGGAGUUGAGCUCCACCUCCUUGGUGCACCAGUUGGUCGCCUCCAGCGUCAGCGGGUAGCCGGUGGUUGCGCCCCGGACGUUCGACGCCAGCAUGUUGUGCGUCAGGAGCCUCAUCUCUCUCGCGUGGCUCGCCUCGCGGUCUCGCGCUGCUCCGGCGGCGCGGUGCGGCUGCGGCGGAGUAAAACCCUAGCGGAGACGGCGUGCAAUGGGGAAUGC